AUGAGCCGUUUGUGGUGCUCGCUCUCCCAGAUGCUCCGCCGCUGCAGAGCUCCGGCCGCCCCGCAGCGCCUGCUUAACUGGUGUUCUUCUGCCUCCCGCGUCACGCCUGCUCUACUCCGUCGCCCAGCGUCCACUAUGUUGCGGCCGCUUCGUCGGCAGUUCCGUUGGUACCACGACCCUCGGAAGGUCGCCGCGGCGACGGCGAUCGGCUUGAGCGCCGCGGUGAUGGCCACAUGCAACCGCGAGGUCGUGCCCUGCACCAACCGCUCCCACCUGGUCGUCCUGUCUCCCCAGGAGGAGCGCGACCUCGGCGAGUCCCUCUUCGCCGACGAGAUGGCCAAGCACAGGCACAAGACCAUCGACCCAUGCCAUCCGGAUAGCGUCCGCGUCCGUCGCAUCGCCGAAAGAAUCAUCCACGCCGCCAACCGUGGCCUGGGCGUCUACGACAGCCGUGACGCCCCCAUGCUCCGCGUCACUCGGAAAGGAAACAAGCCGUGGGCACCACAGCCACACACGAGGCACCUCCAUGGCUCCAUGGCCUCAACGGCAGCUGGGAGCUGGUCCUGGCCACACAUGAUAACGCCACUGUAG
rnacentral:rRNA from 1 species